UUGUUCAUUUAGCUAAUAAGAGGCCAAUAGCCUUUAAGGAAUCUUUGAGAGAGACUGAGGCAGAUUCUUGUCCAGAGCCCAUAACUCCGGAAAUGUUAGUAAAGGGGUAUGAGAUAGUGUCCUUAAAUUUAAUUCCAGAUUUAGAAGAGGUGCCUGAUGAUCCUGAGUGGAAGAUGAGUAGCAGCCCUACAGAAGUAAUAAAGGAUGAAUAUGCAAAACUUCGUAAGGUUAGGCAUAAUCUUCUAGAAGCUUACCAAAAUGAGUUUUUAAGUACCCUGGUAGCUCAGGCUGUGGACCGCAAGGACAGAUAUAGACCAGUUUGUCACCAGAAGUUGGGCAUUGGUGAUAUAGUACUCAUCAAAGAGCCAAACACUAAAACCAUUAAUUUUCCAUUGGGAAUUGUGAAGGACAUAGAGGAGAAUGAUUUGGGGGAAACUACUGGGGCUAUUAUACUUAAAGGGAAGACUCGUGAGGUGAUUAAAAGACAUGUUACUACUUUAAUUCCUUAUCUUACGGUAGUUCCGGAUGCAUCCUAUCAUUCAGAUAAUGAGGAUAAUCAGAGCUCCCGUAGGUUAUCUAUUAAUGAGAGUUCACCCCAAAGGACUCCCAGGAAAGCUGCCAUUAGGAGCAGAAAUUUGACUAAACUUAUGUUGUAGUUAUAAGGUAUGAUGCAAAUUUCUAGUGGUGAGAAAUUUGCAUCCUGUGCCCUCCAGUGUACAAAAAUAAAUGUAAUUUAUUUUUCUGUAAAAUUUUUUUCUAAUAUUUUCUCAGUUUUAUUCUGUAAUAAUAUUUUCUCACGCAGUUUUGUGUGUUGACUUGAGUGGGGUAAUUUUCGCUGUCAAAUGUUCUGUGUGCAUGACUGUUUUACAUAAAAUGUCUUUACAGGCUUUUUUGGAAGGUAGUUUUAAGUAGUUGCAUAAUGGCCUUAUCUGUUGUUGGGUGGUCUUAAGGACCAAGACAAGCAAUAAUUCUCGGGAACUAAUCUUUGUAUUGGUUUUCGAGCUAACGUGUGAGACGGCGGAGAAAUGGUCGUCAGUGAAUUCUGCUACUUCGACUGUGACUGUAGCUUAAGGGUUCACGUCAUACAACCCUUUUGGACACCGUGAGUGUUGGGCUGCGAGGAAGAACGCUGAGUGGAGGACAGAUUUAUUAGAUAUGGAUCCUGUCUGCGUUUGUGCUUUGAUUUCGGAAAUGGUUCUUCACUAAAUACAGGCUCUCUCUCUCUCCCCAUCUCUGGACUUCGCAUUCUGCAUGAAGCGCAUGAUCGAUAGAAACCCUUCACUUAAGCCAUACAUGCUUCGCCCUUUAGCUAAGUUCGGCGAGUGCUAGUGUUAAAGUUGGAUUGUAUCGGUCAGUGUUAACCCGUUAUACAGAUUGGGUUGGUUUCCGCUGGUGUGGUAGGCUUACCUGGGUGCAGUAACGACCGCUAAUUGUAACCUGACCAAUUUAUCCUCGAUUGGUUAUGAUGCAGAGUCGAUAGCCGAUAACAGAAAGGUCAUUGAAACUAAAGAGGAGCUGGUUAAUUUAAUAUGGUUGUUCGUACUUGAUACAUUUUUAUUAAAAUACUGAAUU